ACCUGCUGGUGUAGCUCAGUGGGUAGAGCAUGAGUCUCUUAAACCCAGGGUUGUGGGUUUGAGCACCACAUUGGGGG